AGGUGAAUAGCAGUCUGCAUAAAGGUGGGACCUUUAACUCGAUAUACAUUAUUAUUGCACCUCUUCUGCUGCAUUUACAGUGACACAUUCAAAAAAUGUAAGUGCAUUGCAAUCUCAAGAUUUAUAACAUUUUCUCUGCUAAAAAUCCCAGGUUUUGCUAUCUUUAAUUUUAAGUUUUAUCUGUUUAAUUACAUAACUGAAUAUGAAACUACAAUGAACAUGACCGUACAGAAGUUGAGCUACGUCUGGGGCAACUAAGUUUUGAUAGUGUCUUAUAACUGAAAGGUUUAACAAUGCCCUCCUAUUGAUUGAUUAAAUGUGAACUAUACAAAAAGAAAAACACUAUUAAAGUAUAUAAAAAACAAAACUUUUGCUUAAAGGACCACUAUAGUGCCAGGAAAACAAACUAAUUUUCCUGGCACUACAUUGUUAAUAUGUCCCCCCUCCUGCCAGGCUGAAGGGGUUAAAUUCUUACCUUUCUCCAGCGACGGGCUGCAUCUGCGCUGGGGACUCUCCUCCCUCUUCCGACGUCAUCCGUUGAAUGCACGCAGGGCCGGACUGGCCCACCGGGAUACCGGCAAAUUUCGCGGCACCUGGGGCUGGGCUGCGCACAUGGGUGCCACCGGGCCAGUCCGGUGGCACACUCAGAGGGGGCCGGCCGCGUUCCAGGCUGGAGCCGCCGGGCCGGGUGGCAGCUUCGCCGGUCCGGCGGCACUCCAGUCACUGCUGUGGCUGAGGGCUGAAGGAGGAGGAGCCUGUCUACCAUGCUCCCUCGCGGUUUCUGUGCUGGGAAUUGUGGGAACCGCGAGGGAGCAUGGUAGACAGGCUCCUCCUUCAGACACCAGUGCCGCCGGACCGGCGAAGCUGCCGCCUGGCGGCUCCAGUCUGGAACGCGGCCGGCCCCCUGCCUUCUCUAAGGUAAAUGGGUGGGAUGGGGAGAGACACAGGGGAAGGGGGGAUGGGGAGAGACACAGAGAAAGGGGGGGGCAGAGAUGGUGAGGGGAAUAGAGAUGAUGGAGGGAGGGAGGGAGAGAGGGAGGAACACAGGGGAGAGGGAGGGAGGAGGAAUGGCAGAAGAAGGGCACGACAGAGAAAGAGGCAGAGAUGGUGGGGAAUAGGAGGGUGGGAGGGAGGGAGAGGGAAAGAAUACAGGGAAUGGGGGGGAAUGAAACAGAGAGGGGAAUGGGGGGGGAAUGAAACAGAGAGGGGAAUAGAGGGAGGAGGGCAGAGACACCGGGAAAGGGGGGUGGAGAGAGAUGGGGAGAGGGAGAGACACAGGGAAAGGAGGGAGGGAGAGAGAUGGGGAGAGGGGAGAGACACAGGGAAAGGGGGGAGAGAUGGGUUGGAGGGAGAGAGAGAUGGGAAAAUGGGGGGAGAUGGGUUGGAGGGAGAGACACAGGGAAAGGAGGGAGAGAGAUGGGGAGGAAGGAGAGACACAGGGAAAGGGGGUGAAAGAGGCAGAGGGGGAAGAGAGACACAAAGAGGGAGAAAUGAGAGAGACACAAGGGGAGGGGAAGAAAGAGGCAGAGGGGGAAGAGAGAGACUGGGAAGGAGAGGGGAGACAUUGACACAGAGUAGCAGAGGGGGAGAAAGAGAGGACCCGGGGCAACACUCCGGCACUCACGAGGUGAACUCUAGCCCUGGAGCUACGGGCUGGAGUUCACUCUUACCACUUCCUGGUGGUCGCAGUAGUAGGAUUGAACUCUAGCCCCAUACACACACUGCCUACACACACACCAUACACAUUCACACACUGCCCCCCACACACUGAACCUUUCACACACCUUGCACCCCUCACACAUUGCACCACUGCUCCUAUACCCUACUACAGCCCCAUAUCCCAGCAGACACCAGGUAAGUUGUCAAACUGUUCUUAAACGGUUUGACUACUUACUCUGGGAGGGGGUGCCGACAUUCCUGGCACCAUAACCACUACACAGAGGAGUAGUGGUUAUUGUGCAUGGAAUAUUUAUUUAAAUAAUCUACAAGUGCCCCUCCCGGGCUCAGGCUCUGGAUCUGUCACUGGUAUAUGACAUGUAUAUUAAUGUGUAUAUUAGAUAUAUAUAAAAUUAUGCCUAUUAUAUUUACACAUAUUAAUGUACAUUUAUAUAUGCAUAAUACACAGAGAAAUUUCAUUAAUAUGUACCAUAUGUAAUGAGCAGAUAUUGGCCCAGUCUUGUUGCUAGGUGCAUACUCCAGCACAAUAACAUAUUUAAAGCGAAGAGCACACCCACAGGACUUCAAAAGAAAAAUUUUUUACAGUUGUGCCCUACGUACAUUCACCAUUUCAGUCCCAUUAACAAGCUUUCCUUAAUAUGUCAAGGUGGUUGGACUGAAACAUUGAUUACAUGCAAAGGCACUUCUGCUUAAAAUAAAUCUGCAUUUUUGUUUAUUUUGAAGCCUAUGAGUGCGCUUUUUACGUUGAAGUAUCUGUUCUAACUCUGUAUCUGCACACUUUGCUGGCGCAACGCAUUAUGGGGCUGGUAAAUAUUUUUUUUUCCAGGGCUGCUUUUAAUUCCCAGUCCGGCCCUGAAUGCACGCGCACAUUUAAUCAGUCCAUAGGAAAGCAUCUCUCAAUGCUUUCCUAUGGACGCAAGCGUCUUCUCGGAAGCGCCUCUAGCGGCUGUCAAUGAGACAGCCACUAGAGGCUGGAUUAACCCUAAUGUAAACAUAGCAGUUUCUAUGAAACUACUAUGUUUACAGCUGCAGGGUUAAACCUAGAUGGACCUGCCAGUUUUACAUUAUUAGUAACAUCCAGUGUUAAAAUAUUUAAUGUUAUAUUUUUCCUUUUUUUUUUUUAUAUUCCACAUGUGUUGGAGUAAUCUAAACUGGUAUUUUGGUAAGCGUUCAUAAUUUAUUAAUAUUAUUAUUAUGAUUAUGAUAUUUAUAGAGCGCCGUCAAAUUCCGCAGCGCUUUACAAUGGGUGGACGAACAGACAUGUAGUUGUAACCAGACAAGUUGGACACACAGGAACAGAGGGGUUGAGGGCCCUGCUCAAUGAGCUUACAUGCUAGAGGGAGAGGGGUAAAAUGACACAAAAAGGUAAGGAUAGUAUUAGACUAGUGACAGUUGCAGAAGAGGAAUCAGUCAGGAGCUAUUAACAGUUUAAUUGAUACGCUUUUAUGAAGAAGUGGGUUUUUAACGAUUUUUUGAAGGAGUGGAGACUGGGUGAGCAUCUAACGGAGGAGGGAAGCGAGUUCCACAGGAACGGUGCAGCCCUCGAGAAAUCUUGAAGGCGAGCAUCAGAGGUGGGAGUACGGACAGACGAUAGACGUAAGUCUUCAGCAGAUCGUAAGGGCCUAGAUGGGACAUACUUGUGUAUAAGGGAGGACAGAUAGAUGGGAGCAGCAUUAUGUAGAGAUUUGAAAGCAAGAACCAGAAUUUUAAAUUGAGCUCUAUAUUUUAUAGGAAGCCAAUGUAGGGACUGACAGAAGGGUGAGGCAUGGGAGGUGCGGGCGGACAGGAAGAUGAGCCUCGCCGCUGCAUUCAUUAUGGACUGUAACGGCGCAAGUUGGGAGCACGUAAGACCACUGAGAAGUGGAUUACAGUAGUCAAGGUGAGAAAGGACAGUGGAAUGGACCAACACCUUAGUCGCAUCUGGCGUUAAGUAGGGGCGGAUGCGCGCAAUGUUUUUGAGAUGGAAAUGACAGGAUUUGGCGAUAGAUUGAACAUGAGGCUUGAAGGAGAGAUCGGAGUCAAAGAGAACACCUAGGCAGCGAGCCUGUGUGGUGGAGCUGAUGGUAGCACCGUUGACUUGGAGGGAGACAGACACAGGAGUAACAACACUUGAGGAAAGACCAGAAUUUCAGUUUUGGUCAAGUUUAGUUUAAGGAAGUGGGCAGCCAUCCAGUUAGAGACAGCAGAGAGGCAGUCAGAGACGCUAGUCAAGAGGGACGGGGAGAGAUCAGGAGAGGAAAGGUAGAUUUGCGUGUCAUCUGCAUAGAAACGAUAUUGGAAGCCAAAGGAGCUAAUGAGUUUACCAAGAGAGGCAGUAUAGAUGGAGAACAGUAGGGGACCAAGGACUGAACCUUGGGGGACACCAACAGAGAGGAGUUGGGGAGAAGAAGCAGAGCCAGAGAAAGAAACACUGAAAGAGCGCUGGGAGAGGUAGGAGGAGCACCAGGAGAGAGCAGUAUCUUGUAGACCGAUAUUGCGGAGGAUGAGAAGAAGCUGUUGAUGAUCAACAGUGUCAAAAGCUGCAGAAAGGUCAAGGAGAAUUAGGAUAGAGUAGUGACCACGAGAUUUUGCAGCGAGUAGAUCAUUGGAUACUUUGGUCAGUGCCGUUUCCACAGAGUGCUUAGCGCGGAAACCAGUUGAAGCGGGUCUAGCAGAGAGUUGGACUCGAGGAAGUCUGUCAAUCUCGCAUAUACAAUUUUUUUCAAGGAUCUUGGAUGCAAAAGGCAGUAGCGAGAUAGGACGAUAGUUGGAUGGGGAGUUAGGGUCAAGAUUGGGCUUCUUUAGAAUUGGGGUUACAGUUGCAUGUUUGAAGGGCAAUGGAAAUAUACCAGAGGAGAGAGAGAUUGAGAAUUUUAGUGAGAGGUGGAGAAAGAGAAGAAGACAGAGUACGGAUGAGAUGCGAGGGAAUUGGAUCUAGGGAGCAGGUGGUGGGGUGGGAGGACUGAAGCAGAGCAGAAACCUCUUCCAAUGUAGCGGGUGCGAAUGAACAUAGAACAGCAGAGGGAGUGAAGUUAGGGGAAGUAUUGUAAGGGGAAGAAGAAAGAUGAGCUAUCUCUUCUCUGAUUGUAGAGAUCUUGUCAGUGAAGUGAGUUGAAAAGUAGUAGGUGGAGGAGGAACAGCAGGGCAAAGAAGAGAGUUAAAUGUGUGAAAUAAUCGUUUGGGUUCGCGGGAGUGUGGUUAUGAGGGUAUUGAAGUAAUUAACUUUUGCAGAGGAAAGAGCCAAGCUGUAUGAGCUCAGCAUAAAUUUAUAGUGGAGAAAGUCAGACGCACAGUGAGACUUUCUCCAACAGCGUUCAGCAGUUCUGGAGCAUUUUUGGAGGUAUCGAGUAAGCUUGGUGUGCCAGGGUUGUUGUUGGGAGGGGGCUUGCGGAGUUUAAAUGUAUAAGGUGCCAUGAUGUCUAGUUGAGAGGAGAGGGUGGAAUUGUAGAAGGAGGUUGCAGAACUAGGACAGGUGAGGUUUGAGAUAGGUAAAAGGAGAGUUUGGAGAUUAGUGGAGAAAUGCUCUAGGUCAAGACAUUGGAGGUUUCUGUGAAAGUGAUGUUCAAACGGUGGUGUCAAUUGGGUCUUAGGUAUGCCAAUGUCAAAAGUCAGCAGAUGGUGGUCAGAUAGAGGAAAGGGAAUAUUGGAGAGAUUAGAGGCAGUACAGAGGUUGGUGAAGGCAAGAUCAAGAGUGUUUCCUGCUGUAUGGGUUGCUAGAUUGGACCAUUGCGUAAGACCAAAGGAGGAGGUUACAGAGAGCAGACGAGAGGCAUCAGUGCAAUUGGGGUUAUUGAUUGGGAUAUUGAAAUCCCCAAGUAUAAGGGAAGGAGUGCUAGAUGAGAGGCCUUUACAGUUGAGUCUGGGAGUGUGAGCGAAUUGUAGCCCACCAAAACAUAAAGAGGCAGGAGUAGCGCUAUCAGAGGGGGACAGCCAGGUCUCUGUAAGUGCAAGCAGUAUGAGUGAGUUUGAGAUGAAAAAGUCGUGUAUGGUUGUUGGUUUUUAAAUGACUGCAGAUGGAGCGGGCAUUCCAGAGUGCACAAUUAAUUUUGGUAAGUGACCAACAUUUUGGUUAUGACAUUUUGGUUAUGUUAUGCUCCCUGCAUCUGCAGUGCUUCUGAUUGGUCACUGCCCAGCACUAGGAGGUUUGUGCUUGACAAAAAGGGGACAGAUCAACUUAAUUGUAGAAAACAACUAAUGCAACAUAGAAAAGGGAAGAUUUUUGAAAUAUUCAAAUUGUAACUACAAAUACACUAAAAAUAUGUAUUUUGUAACCUAGACAAUAGACCUGAGAAUAGAGCACCUAUCUAUAAGAUAAUAAUAUGCAGGAGUAACCUAGUGCACUACUGAUACUACAAUACAAGGAAAACCAAAGUAGAGGUAAGACUAUGUACUUUGAGUAUAUAAUACAGAGUAAAAAUUAGGUAGUACUAGAUCUGGAGAAACUACAGAAAUCUGUUACAUUAGGCUACUACUGGAUGUCUGUCCAUGUCCUGUCUAGGUAAUGGCAGAGACUCUAUAAGACGAAGCUCAGUGCUGUUUGGUCACAGGAGCACCAAAAUCAUAUCACGCCAGUCCCAGGCCUGUAUUGGCCCUAUCACCCAUGCUUCACUGUCCUGGACUUUGGGUUAGUUGCUUAAGGCAACUGUCUUUAGGUGCCGCAACAUCGGAGGUCAUGGUGCCUCUGCCGCAAUGCCCUCCAAGGGUGUUAGUGGUGAGGGGAUCUCCUACCCUGGGUAAGCUCUCAGACCAGUAAGUCUCCUCUGCAGGGAUGGAACCUGUAUUGGCGCAGAACGUUGGUCAUCCACUAGCUGGCAGGGUUGUGGUAGAAGUGCUGUAAGCUCUCAUGCAGCCGGUAAUAUUUGGCCAUUAGAUCUCCUGAUUGUGGGAAUGUGCUAGCACCUCAUGGUCUUGCGGCCAUCUUAAAGGGUAUGCCUAGGUGGAUGUGCCCCAAAUUGACAAUGUGUAGCAUCCUCAAUGGGGACUGGGAUGAGCACCGCUGGUCCAAAGGGGGAGGGAACAGGACCAGGAAGGAAUUAAGUUGUUGAUGCGCAGCAGGCGGGUUAGCAAGCGAAACAGCAGCCGUCCACUUCACUCCCUGCCCAGGUAGGUCUCAGUCUCCAAGCUUUCGAAUCACUCUUCAGGACCCAGAGUCACCCAAUAUCAGGCGCUCCAACUGCACCAGGAUACUUCAGAAUCAUGUACUGUAGGCUUCCGACAUAAUGCUAGUAGAGGGCUUACUGCAAUGUUGCCAAAUUCCUCGGGCGCCACAGCGGUGUACAGACUGCUGGCAUGGCUACUCAGCCCCGCCCUGCCUAGACAUUUAAUGUAAUCCUUUCAUGAUGUUAGGCUGUUCAAUGUUUUAACACUGUUAGCAUGGCAUGAAAUGUACUUUAGUUUUGGUGUUCGCAGAGUAAAAUACAUGCUCACACCAGGGAGACCUGUGUAUCAAUUGAUAUGUGGGGUUCCCCUUUGUCAACUGGGUUCUUGUUUAGUGCUCCCAGACUGACAGAUGGGCUUUAUGUAGAGAUCAAAACAAGCACUGAAUAUUGCCCUUUAAAUCACCAUGACUAAGUAAUUGUGAUCAGCUACUGUGAUUCUUAUCCUGCCCUAAGAGAAAGAGACAGACAACAGGGUUUGCAAAUACCACGAAAGGGUAUCCCUGCAUGCCCCAAUGCCAACUGUAACUGGCACUGUGCUUUGCUAGCUGCCAGCACCAAUUGCAGUGCGAUGAGCAGGCACAGUGUGCUGGAGCUGCUCCCUCUCAUACUGCAAUUUCACAGUACACAGUGCUAACAGUGUUCUGUGCCAUGUGAGCUUGGGAAUCCCUUUAGUUGAUAUCGACAGAGGGAAUCUUCUGAAUUAAGUUUAUGAUUUAAUACUGGGUUAGGGUUAAUUGGUUUUAGGCUUAUGGAUAGUGUAUGGUUAAGGUGAGGGGUAAGGUUAUGGUAGGUGUAUGGUUAGAGUUAGUGCAAGAAUGGGGGUAGGACUGGUACAGCUUUAGCAUUAAUUACCAAUAAUGUAUUUAGAUUUUAGACAUAUGAGGCAUUGAACAAUUAGGAUUGACAUAUGAAUUUAUUUAGAUUUUUUUCUUUAGUUGCACUUGAUAGUUUUGUUUUUCAUUUGUUCAUGUGUUAUAUUUUAUUAAUACUUACUUUUGUGUUAGGUAUACAAAAUUUUAAAAAAAAUGUGUUUUUCUUAAUUUUGAUCUUUCAGUGUUAACCUCUAUCACCUCAACUGGAAGACAGUUCCACAUAUCUACUGCCCUUUCUAUAUCACUAUUAGCUUUUACAACUUCCAUUGGAAGGCUGUUCCAUGUAUCUACUAUUCUUAGGCUCUACCACUUCCACCAAAAGACUAUUCCAGGUAUCUACUACCCUUUUUCCCAAGCUUAAAGUGAAAACUGCAGAGGCUAACAGUGCUAUACAAGUGGUAGUAGAAACAUGUAACAACCUUUCAAGGUAAAGGCUAAUGGUGAUAUAGAAAGGGAAAAUUCAGAGAAAAAAAACAAAAGUUCUUAAUUUUGCUGUUUCAAUUGCAUAGUAGAUAUAAAUGAUACCCUAAGUUGAUACCCUGAGAACCAUUUGGUCCAUCUAGUCUGCUCAAUUUUCUUUCAUUUCCUUUACUUUCAUUAGUCCCUGGCCUUAUCUUAUAUCAAGGAUAGCAUUAUGCUUAUCCCAUGCAAGUUUAAACUCCCUCACUCCAUUAACCUCUACCACUUCAGCUGGAAGGCUAUUUAAUGCAUCCACUACCCUCUUAGUAAAGUAAUACUUCCUCAUAUUAUUUUUAAAUCUUUGCCCCUCUAAUUUAAGACUAUGUCCUCUUGUGGUAGUUUUUCUUCUUUUAAAUAUAAUCCCCUCCUUUACUGUACUGAUUCCCUUUAAGUAUUUAAAUAUUUCUAUCAAAUCCCCCCUGUCUCGUCUUUCCUCCAAGCUAUACAUGUUAAGCUCCUUUAACCUUUCCUGGUUGGCACUACCACAUAAUAAUAGCAAUUUAGAGAACUAUCUACUAAACAGCUGAUGAGUAAAACAAAAAAAAGUACUAUUUUCUUAAUGUUUGUUUCAUUUGCUUAGUAGAUAAGUCCCUAAUUUGGUUCCUUAAUUAUGGCACUACUACAUAAGGAUACCAGAUAAAAGAGCCAUUUACUAGACAGCGAACAGUUUAAAAUUAAGAAAAAACAAAAAACACUGGUAUUAAUUUUAUCAGCUCCCUAACUGGUACCCAUAUGUGGGAUUACUAUUUAUAAUAAUACUAUGUUAGGGCACUAUUUUUCUUUGCUUUCAUUGAUUUUAGUUAGGUGGAAUAACGUGUGAUUGGUUCCACAGUGUUUACAGCUGCAUGUGGUUUUAACGCUAAUUAUAGUGGACAUUUUUUUUAUAUUAGUGCGCUAUCUGCUAAACAGCAUCCUACUUUGGUAUCCUUCGGAUUAAUGGUAAUAAUGGCGUCUAAAUUUAAUUUUGGUUCUGAAAUUUUCAGAAUUUCAUUAUGUCUGAAUUAAUAAUAUCCUAAUUUCAGACAACUCCAAAUUUGAAAAUUAACAAAUUGGAAUGACUCAAAACACAUUUUUUGGCCGUGCACAUAUCUUGUCCUAGAUGUUUUUACUAUGAAAAUUUGCAUAAUUGUAAUAAAUAAUUAUUAUUGUACAGACAUAUAUUAAUCUUCAUUCUGACAGCUCUAGUAUGUUCAUUACUUUGUUUUCUUGAUAACAAUGUAUUCUUUUAACUCCUUUCUCUAUAGUGCUGAACCAAUGAAACUCAUAGGAUUUUAUGGAGCUGGUGAAGAUUGCCUAGCUUCUGCAAUCCUCGUAAAAUCCAAGCUUGUCUAGACUACGAACACAUUUGCUAAACUACAUAUUAAAUGUAUAAACUGUGAAAAUUCUAAUGACAACUAAUAGCAGAACAAGUAUAUUAACUAAUAAGAAACCGUAUGUUUGCUACUGACCAUUUUACUACAUCUCCCUCUCUUCAGUCAUGCACUCUAGCAACACACAGUGAACACUGAUUUGUUAUACUUUCUUAC
rnacentral:lncRNA from 1 species